rnacentral:rRNA from 1 species
GAUGUACGCUGGCGGCGUGCCUAAUACAUGCCAGUCGAGCGAACAGACGAGGAGCUUGCUCCUCUGACGUUAGCGGCGGACGGGUGAGUAACACGUGGAUAACCUACCUAUAAGACUGGGAUAACUUCGGGAAACCGGAGCUAAUACCGGAUAAUAUAUUGAACCGCAUGGUUCAAUAGUGAAAGACGGUUUUGCUGUCACUUAUAGAUGGAUCCGCGCCGCAUUAGCUAGUUGGUAAGGUAACGGCUUACCAAGGCAACGAUGCGUAGCCGACCUGAGAGGGUGAUCGGCCACACUGGAACUGAGACACGGUCCAGACUCCUACGGGAGGCAGCAGUAGGGAAUCUUCCGCAAUGGGCGAAAGCCUGACGGAGCAACGCCGCGUGAGUGAUGAAGGUCUUCGGAUCGUAAAACUCUGUUAUUAGGGAAGAACAAAUGUGUAAGUAACUAUGCACGCCUUGACGGUACCUAAUCAGAAAGCCACGGCUAACUACGUG